rnacentral:snoRNA from 12 species
UGGACCAAUGAUGAGCAAGCCUUUGUGAACAAAGGACCACGUUUAAUCCAGUUCUGCAGGAAAUACUGAGAUCCAUU